rnacentral:rRNA from 1 species
GCAAGUCGAACGAGAAAGGGCGCCUUCGGGGGCCUGAGUAAAGUGGCGAACGGGUGAGUAACACGUGGGUGACCUACCCUCUGGAGGGGGAUAACCCGGGGAAACCCGGGCUAAGACCGCAUAAGCCUUUGAAUUCAAACUCAAAGGGAAAAGGUUCUAGCUUUCGAGCUUGAUCCUACCGGAGGAGGGGCCCGCGUCCCAUUAGCUAGUUGGUGGGGUAAAAGCCUACCAAGGCUACGAUGGGUAGCCGGUCUGAGAGGACGGACGGCCACACUGGAACUGAGACACGGUCCAGACUCCUACGGGAGGCAGCAGUGGGGAAUUUUGGGCAAUGGGCGAAAGCCUGACCCAGCAACGCCGCGUGGAGGAUGAAGGCCCUCGGGUCGUAAACUCCUGUCCUAGGGGAAGAAAAAAAUGACGGUACCCUUGGAGGAAGCCCCGGCUAACUCCGUGCCAGCAGCCGCGGUAAGACGGGGGGGGCGAGCGUUGUUCGGAAUUACUGGGCGUAAAGGGCGCGCAGGCGGCCUGGGAAGUCUUGGGUGAAAGCCCCCAGCUCAACUGGGGAAUGGCCUGAGAAACCACUAGGCUGGAGUGCUGGAGAGGGAAGCGGAAUUCCCG